UACGUAGGGGGCAAGCGUUGUCCGGCUUUAUUGGGCGUAAAGAGCGUGUAGGCGGCCAGAUAGGUCUGGUGUGAAAACUCGAGGCUCAACCUCGAGAGGUCACUGGAAACCAUUUGGCUAGAGUCCGGAAGAGGAGAGUGGAAUUCCUGGUGUAGCGGUGAAAUGCGCAGAUAUCAGGAAGAACACCCGUGGCUAAGGCGGCUCUCUAGUACGGUACUGACGCUGAGACGCGAAAGCGUGGGGAGCGAACAGG
rnacentral:rRNA from 1 species